rnacentral:rRNA from 1 species
CGAACGUACAGAACCUUCCUUUGAGCGGGGAAUAGCCCAGAGAAAUUUGGAUUAAUACCCCAUAGUAAUAUUUGAUGGCAUCAUUAGAUAUUUAAAGAUUUAUCACUUAAAGAUGGCUGUGCGGCUGAUUAGGUAGUUGGUGUAGGUAACGGCUCACCAAGCCAACGAUCAGUAACUGGUGUGAGAGCACGACCAGUCACACGGGCACUGAGACACGGGCCCG